UCAUCGUUCAAACAAUUCGCAAAGCGCUCUACUUGCGCGGUGCCAGCUUCUGGAAGGGGCGGCAAUAAUGUCCAGUCCCGCUUAUAUUGCUGGCGACUUUUGGCGCAUCUGCGACCGUUGCGGUUUCCGGUACCGUUCCAGCCAAACCUACCGGACGUGGGAUGGUCUGUAUGUUUGCCACGAUGAUUUUGAGACGAGGCACCCUCAGGAUUUCGUGAGGGGCCGCAGAGAUAAUCAGAUCGCGCCACAUCCACGCCCUGAGGCGCUGGACACCAUCAUAGGCCCGCUCACGACGUCA
rnacentral:misc_RNA from 1 species